UACGAAGGGGGCAAGCGUUGUUCGGAAUUACUGGGCGUAAAGGGCGCGUAGGCGGCCUGUUAAGUCGAACGUGAAAUCCCCGGGCUCAACCCGGGAACUGCGUCCGAUACUGGCAGGCUUGAAUUCGGGAGAGGGAUGCGGAAUUCCAGGUGUAGCGGUGAAAUGCGUAGAUAUCUGGAGGAACACCGGUGGCGAAGGCGGCAUCCUGGACCGAGAUUGACGCUGAGGCGCGAAAGCCAGGGGAGCAAAGCGGG
rnacentral:rRNA from 1 species